rnacentral:rRNA from 1 species
AUUGAACGCUGGCGGCAGGCCUAACACAUGCAAGUCGAGCGAGCGGCGGACGGGUGAGUAAUGUAUGGGGACUGCCCGAUAGAGGGGGAUAACUACUGGAAACGGUGGCUAAUCCCGAAUACUGUCGGAAAACCCAUAUGGGAUUAGCUAGUAGGUAAGGUAAUGGCUUACCUAGGCGACGAUCCCUAGCUGGUCUGAGAGGAUGAACAGCCACACUGGGACUGAGACACGGCCCAGACUCCUACGGAGGCAGCAGUGGGGAAUAUUGCACAAUGGGCGAAAGCCUGAGACAGCCAUGCCGCGUGUAUGAAGAAGGCCCUCGGAUUGUAAAGUACUUUCAGUCGGGAGGCGUUACCGACAGAAGAAGCACCGGCUAACUCCGUGCCAGCAGCCGCGGUAAUUC